UUCCCUUCAUUAGCCCUCAUUGGACUGGACGAGACUAAUAGUUAGCCUAGUCUUCUGUUUGUUACUUCACGGACUAGUUUUAGUGAGAGUAAGCUGGACUCGCCUCGACUAAGUACUGUGCUGCACUCUGCUCGCGUCUUCUACUCUCCUUACGUUCUCUCCUUCUCUCCUCGUCCCCAACCCUGAAUUAUGAACAAAGACCUCGAUUCGAGAUGGGAACCAGAAUCGGAAUCGGAAUCAGAAUCAGAAUCGGACUUUUGCUAUGAUUUGCCACACUUUUCAGUCCCCAGAGAGUUUAGUUUGCGAUCUCCCUUGAGUUUUGAUCGAGGAGUUUGUAUUGGGGUUUUGGGGUUUUGCAGUUGCAGGAGGAGAAGAUGAAAGUCAACAUCUUGCGUAUCCUUCUCACUGUGUUUAUGUUAUUCUGUCCUUUCUUUCAAACUACUCUAGUUUAUAUACCAUUUGCAACUAGCUCAUGUAACUUUCUGUACUUUUUAUUCCAAGAUAUUAACUUUGUUGCAUUUAAUCAUAUGGUAGACUGAAUUUUGGCUUGAUAGUUUCAAAUUCCUAUGAUUUUGAUUUUGUUCUUUCUUUCAAAUUUACUGGUUUAUACCAUUUAGAAAUAGCUUUUGUAGUGCUCUUUUCUUUCCCGUCUUCAAACUGUUGCAUCGAAUCGUGGUGGAAUGAAUUUCAGCUUGACGGUAUUGAAUUUCUAUGAUUUUUCAUCCUCUGGAACUAUGAACAGUUAAUGAGCUGUAGGGUUUUACUACCUUAAUUGUAGUCUAAUGUUACGAAUGGCGAUCACAAGAUCAGCAUCCAUUAUGUUAGUCAUGAGUCUCUAGCAUAUGUUCCCUCUGUUUAUGAUUCGGCGCGAUUAUCUUUUUAACAACGAUCUUGAUAAUUUGACAAUCCCAUUUGCUCGGUGAUCUUGUUUUAACUUGAAAUAUCUUUGAUGGGAAAUGGACGUAUUAUGCAUUUUAUCGUAACUGUUUUCUGUUGAACCUUGUCUCUUUGCAAAUAUCUGAUGGAGAUUUUAAACAGAGUAUGUCUUUUUUACCUCUUUUUGCUAUCUCUCAUGUUCAUUAAUCAAUUGGAAAUAAUCAAUUGCUGCAUGUGUGAAUGUGUCGAAGUGUAAAUUUGAUGUGCCCUUUUUUUUCUGGGAUAUGUUUUAUUUCAUCUACUUUCAAGCUCUAACUCUUAUCCCCUUGGACCUGCAAGUGGCAUGCUGUCAGCUUCAUGGACAUGGCAUGCACAAGACGAAACAUGUGGGAUUUGUAGGAUGGCAUUUGAUGGUUGUUGUCCCGAUUGUAAACUCCCAAGGGAUGAUUGCCCGCUAAGUAUUUGAUGUUACCCAUUUGUUUUCAAUUUAUCUGCUAUUUUUCCUUUUAUGAAUUGAUUGAUAAGUUUUUGUAAGUUGAUGUGAUUUUGUUCUUCAUUCCUUGCUUUCGUUUUGCUAGAAAUUUGAUGUUAUCAUAUUUUGGGAUGGGUUAAUUGGUAUCUUGUGGGUAAGUUUGUGGAGAAGGAUUUGUGUGCAUCUACACUGUUUGAUGAAAUAGCUAAGAGACAAAGUGAGGACGCUGCAGGAAACCUCUUCAAUCGAAAGUGAGGACGUUGCAGGAAACCUCUUCGAUCGAAUGACCCCUCUUUUUCAUAACAUGGUUGUAUGCUCUUAGUUUUGCAUAACUAGGGGUGAAUUAUAGAAUGGAUGAGAUUCGGGAGGCAGAUUGGCUAAAAUUCUAGGGGUGCUACUCUGUUCCAAGCACCAGGAGAACCGUUGCGACAUGUACGAUGGUGGAAGAAUUGGUUAUGGAAGAGAACAUUGCAAAAUGUUGCUGGGCAAAUGGGGAGUUGUGGAUGUAAAUGAUUGUUGCAGUUGUGCUAUGUAUUUGGUGGAUUCCGGGAUGGUAGAUGGGAAACACUUAUGCAUUACUACGAACUCUCAGGUGGUAAGCUUGAGCAUUGUGCCUUCUAGGAGGCCUGUGAUCCUUGCAGACAAGACCUAUGCCACCAAGACUGAUGCACUGGAAGCUGUUAUGCAUGCACCUGUCCAUUUUCAAGGAUUUCUGACUUUUGUGUGAAAUCGGUAUCAAUUGCUCAUAUUGGUUGUAAUGUAUACUGCUGAUGAGGAUUUUGAGUCUAUAACCAAUGUUCAAUAAAUCUUAUACAAGGCUCGUUCAUCUUCUAAA